GUGUCAGCAGCCGCGGUAAGACGUAGGGCGCGAGCGUUGUCCGGAUUUAUUGGGCGUAAAGAGCUCGUAGGCGGCUUGUCGCGUCGACCGUGAAAACUUGGGGCUCAACCCCAAGCCUGCGGUCGAUACGGGCAGGCUAGAGUUCGGUAGGGGAGACUGGAAUUCCUGGUGUAGCGGUGAAAUGCGCAGAUAUCAGGAGGAACACCGGUGGCGAAGGCGGGUCUCUGGGCCGAUACUGACGCUGAGGAGCGAAAGCGUGGGGAGCGAACAGGAUUAGAUACCCGAGUAGUCC
rnacentral:rRNA from 1 species